AAAUGACGUGUCGUUUGUGCUGGAAAGUAGAAAAAUUGGCAACGGUUAUCAGCGAGUGCCAUACGGCUUUAGAGUUCGACGAUUUUCCAGACUACAUCCGCAAAUUUGUGCAAGAUUCCCAAGAUGAUCCAAGCGAUAGUACAGCUAUUUUGCAGUAGCUGGAAAAAUACGAUUUCAUAACACUUAUGCGGCAGGAAGGACAAACUGUUUUUGUUAUCAAGCCAGUUGAGGAGCUGCGGUCACACACACGGGACAUUAUUUUCCCCCAAAGAUGCAACAGCGACUGCGUAAACGCCGGUAAUUUUUAUAUCAUGUGCUCAAGUGAAACAGGUCAGCGGAG